GAAUCGACGUAUAUUUACGGUAUAUCGGUAUAUCAACGAUAUGAGUUGUGCUGUCGCGACUUAUCGAAGCACUGCCAUUUGAAUUGCGGAACAAAACAAAGUAAUCUUAUUAUUAGAUUUUCCCGUGGGCGGCCGUUUUAAAGACCGGCGGCGCCCUUUGCCGCAGAUGUGGACCACUACUCUGCCCUGCCUCAGCCCCCAGACCACCCCGGAUGUGCUCUACGCGGAGUGUUCAUCAACAAAGCAGACCAUCGCUGAAACUGGCCUGGAAACUGAGACACACACUGGCUACCGGCAAUACCAUCGUCCUAAAGCCAGUCGAGCAGUCAAUGUGGUGCCUGGUUUCGGUGGAGCCGGCGCUGCCCUAGCCAAUCACCCAGAUUGCCUCUUUUAGCUUCCUGGGAAAACUCGCAAAAGCCUCCCGACAUUGCCGUGCAUGCCAUGAAGGCGAGGCGUCUGCUCUUCUCGACAGAUGUCGGAAGCCAUCAGGUCAUCAUUCGGGCCCGAGUCGAAGGCAAUGAGCGUAUGGAGCUGGAAGGAGUCACGGCCUGGACCAACAGUCCGAAAUACUAAUCCCAUUGCAAGCGAAUCGAUGGAAAGAACAAGUGGGAUUUGUGUACUGGCUGGACGGAGACUGUCAAUGGAGAGCGUCGUUCCGCGGACCUGCAGCUUUUGUCGCAGAUCACCGACAUCCGGGCGCAAUCACACGUGUCUUCACGGUCACGACGUCUGGUCUGCUCGUGCCCCAAGCAUCUGAUGCUAUCCGGGAGUAGUGACAUGAACAACGACUGUAUAUCCGUCUUCUGGCGCUGCGAUGGUACCACCUGUGACAAUGUCCACGAUGAGGCCGACUGCUGCAAGCGGCCAAGAGACUUUCAGUGUCCCAUCAACAAAACUAUUUUUCCAGCUGCAUGAAUCCCUGCAAAAAAAAAAUACCACCCAAGUAGCAGAGGAACUAUAUGAUAAUUCCAAACGACGGUCUCCUUUUACUUAUGGGAACAUUUAUGGAAUGCAUAAGCAUCUGUUAAUGAGACAAAACGGAAUAAAAUGCCAAUGUGUCCUUUCACAUAUGGGAAUUUAUGAGAGUUUCGAAGUACAAGUGCAGAAGAUUCAAAAUCUUUGCCACGAUUCGACAGAUCCGCCUUCCCUCGGCCAGUACCGAAUGGGGUUCAUAUAUCCUUCGCUGGUAAAAUAAAAAUCAAAUACGACGAAGAAUAUUUAAAAUUUCUUU